GAUGAACGCUGGCGGCGUGCCUAAUACAUGCAAGUCGAGCGAACAGACGAGGAGCUUGCUCCUCUGACGUUAGCGGCGGACGGGUGAGUAACACGUGGAUAACCUACCUAUAAGACUGGGAUAACUUCGGGAAACCGGAGCUAAUACCGGAUAAUAUAUGGAACCGCAUGGUUCAAUAGUGAAAGACGGUUUUGCUGUAACUUAUAGAUGGAUCCGCGCCGCAUUAGCUAGUUGGUAAGGUAACGGCUUACCAAGGCAACGAUGCGUAGCCGACCUGAGAGGGUGAUCGGCCACACUGGAACUGAGACACGGUCCAGACUCCUACGGGAGGCAGCAGUAGGGAAUCUUCCGCAAUGGGCGAAAGCUUGACGGAGCAACGCCGCGUGAGUGAUGAAGGUCUUCGGAUCGUAAAACUCUGUUAUUAGGGAAGAACAAAUGUGUAAGUAACUAUGCACGUCUUGACGGUACCUAAUCAGAAAGCCACGGCUAACUACGUG
rnacentral:rRNA from 1 species